rnacentral:rRNA from 1 species
CAGUCGAACGAGAGACCUUCGGGUCUCUAGUGGCGAACGGGUGAGUAACACCUAGGGAACCUGCCCGCGCACCGGGAAUACGCUCUGGAAACCGAGAACAAAUCCCGAUGUACAGGAAGGAGGCAUCUUCUUUCUGUGAAACAUCCUUUAGGGGAUGGGGCGCGGAUGGACCUGCGGUGCAUUAGUUGGUUGGCGGGGUAAAGGCCCACCAAGACGAUGAUGCAUAGCCGGCCUGAGAGGGCGGACGGCCACAUUGGGACUGAGACACGGCCCAGACUCCUGCGGGAGGCAGCAGUAGGGAAUUUUCGUCAAUGGGCGCAAGCCUGAACGAGCGAUGCCGCGUGAGUGAAGAAGGCCUUCGGGUCGUAAAGCUCUGUUGCGGGGGAAAAAAGGCAGCAUCAGGAAAUGGGUGCUGACUGAUGGUGCCCCGCCAGAAAGUCACGGCUAACUACGUGCCAGCAGCCGCGGUAAUACGUAGGUGGCGAGCGUUAUCCGGAAUGAUUGGGCGUAAAGGGUGCGCAGGCGGUCCUGCAAGUCUGGAGUGAAACGCAUGAGCUCAACUCAUGCAUGGCUUUGGAAACUGGAGGACUGGAGAGCAG